rnacentral:misc_RNA from 1 species
GAUGAAGAACGUAGCGAACUGCGAUAAGUAAUGUGAAUUGCAGAAUUCAGUGAAUCAUCGAGUCUUUGAACGCACAUUGCGCCCCCUGGCAUUCCGGGGGGCAUGCCUGUCCGAGCGUCAUUGCUGCCCUUCAAGCCCGGCUUGUGUGUUGGGUCGUCGUCCCCCCCGGGGGACGGGCCCGAAAGGCAGCGGCGGCACCGCGUCCGGUCCUCGAGCGUAUGGGGCUUUGUCACCCGCUCGAUUAGGGCCGGCCGGGCGCCAGCCGGCGUCUCCAACCUUCUAUUUUACCAGGUUGACCUCGGAUCAGGUAGGGAUACCCGCUGAACUUAAGCAUAUCAAUAGGCGGAGGA